rnacentral:lncRNA from 1 species
AGUUGCUCUCUGUGCAUAGCAGAGGCACUGUUUGUGGUUUGGGAAGCUAUAGUGACAGUUAGAGGCUGUUGUAGCAAUCCAUGAGUGUAUGUACUCAUGUAUAUCUGUAAUGUGGUGUGCUUUCUUAUCUUCAAGAGCAUAGUUAAAACAGUUGGAUUAUGUUGAUAAAAUAGACCCUAUAAGGAAAGUGCAAGUUUUGACAUUUCCUCAUUUUGUAGUUUGUGUUCAGUUGGCAAUGUGAGUAUUAAUAGUGAACAAUGUUAAUGCCUGCAUGUGAGGUGAACCUGCCAGUUAAAAGAUGAUAAAUUAUGGAUUUAUUAUUCUUUUUCUCAAUCUCUUGACAGCUGUGAGCAAGGCUGUUCCAAAUUACCACCAAAUGGUAGAAAGUUUAUUACUUCCCUGGCCAAAUAAAAUACAAAUACAAUUUCACCCUGCAAAAAUAUUAUUAAGCUAAUGUUGCAAAAGCCUUAUUAAUCUUAUUAUAGUUAACAGUGCAUAGUACUAAAAAGACAACUUGGGAAAUUCAAGACAACUUGAUUUUUAGAACCUAACAGUAUCUAGAAAAUCACAUAUUAAAUGUCUAAUAAAUAUUUGUGAACUAAAUAUACAUGAAGACACUAUUAACAUCUUUCCAAGGGAAAAGUACCUGGCUAAUAACUUUUAAUAAGUUAAGUGCUCCUAAUUAGGAGUUGGCAUUUAUAGUAGGGAGAUGCUUUGUGAUUUCACAUAUGUGGAGACUGAGAGACAGAUAUUUUAUUGUAAAAUAAAGGAUGUAUUGUGAAACAAAGGAGAUGGUCAGAGUAGGGUGGGUAAAGAAGAUAAAUUAGGAGGAGAAAAUAAAGUUUAUUACUUUAAA